CAGUCGCCACGGUAAUACGUAGGUGGCAAGCGUUGUCCGGAAUUAUUGGGCGUAAAGGGCUCGCAGGCGGUUUCUUAAGUCUGAUGUGAAAGCCCCCGGCUCAACCGGGGAGGGUCAUUGGAAACUGGGAAACUUGAGUGCAGAAGAGGAGAGUGGAAUUCCACGUGUAGCGGUGAAAUGCGUAGAGAUGUGGAGGAACACCAGUGGCGAAGGCGACUCUCUGGUCUGUAACCGACGCUGAGGAGCGAAAGCGUGGGGAGCGAACAGGAUUAGAUACCCCAGUAGUCCCUGUCUCUUAUAC
rnacentral:rRNA from 1 species